rnacentral:rRNA from 1 species
AAACUUGCCCCGAGAUGAGUUCUCCCUGAGACUUUAAGUCUCCUGAAGGAACGUUAAAGACGACGACGUUGAUAGGCCGGGUGUGUAAGCGCAGCGAUGCGUUGAGCUAACCGGUACUAAUGAACCGUGAGGCUUAACCUU